GAUGAACGCUGGCGGCGUGCCUAAUACAUGCAAGUCGAGCGAACAGACGAGGAGCUUGCUCCUCUGACGUUAGCGGCGGACGGGUGAGUAACACGUGGAUAACCUACCUAUAAGACUGGGAUAACUUCGGGAAACCGGAGCUAAUACCGGAUAAUAUAUUGAACCGCAUGGUUCAAUAGUGAAAGACGGUUUUGCUGUCACUUAUAGAUGGAUCCGCGCCGCAUUAGCUAGUUGGUAAGGUAACGGCUUACCAAGGCAACGAUGCGUAGCCGACCUGAGAGGGUGAUCGGCCACACUGGAACUGAGACACGGUCCAGACUCCUACGGGAGGCAGCAGUAGGGAAUCUUCCGCAAUGGGCGAAAGCUUGCCGGAGCAACGCCGCGUGAGUGAUGAAGGUCUUCGGAUCGUAAAACUCUGUUAUUAGGGAAGAACAAAUGUGUAAGUAACUAUGCACGUCUUGACGGUACCUAAUCAGAAAGCCACGGCUAACUACGUG
rnacentral:rRNA from 1 species